rnacentral:rRNA from 1 species
UACGUAGGGUGCAAGCGUUGUCCGGAAUUAUUGGGCGUAAAGAGCUCGUAGGCGGUGUGUCACGUCGUUCGUGAAAACCUGCAGCUUAACUGUGGGCGUGCGGUCGAUACGGGCAUCACUGGAGUUCGGCAGGGGAGACUGGAAUUCCUGGUGUAGCGGUGAAAUGCGCAGAUAUCAGGAGGAACACCGAUGGCGAAGGCAGGUCUCUGGGCCGAUACUGACGCUGAGGAGCGAAAGCGUGGGGAGCGAACAGG